AUCAUAGAUGGCAGUCUUUGUUAGUACUUCGCUUGACACGUGUACCCCUUCUUGAAUGGUUUAAAUAUUUGUGACAGUAUAGCGUUGUCGACGCCCAGUUAUCCUUGGAUUUGCAAGGGGACUAUCUCUCGAUAUCUGGUUCUUAAGCAUAUUCCUAUUCCAGUAACUAUUGCAAUAGUGUUCGUCAAGUUCGAAACUUUUCAGUUACAAUUGUAAUGUCUAAUGGAUAUAAAGUAUGUUAACGAUUCGUUAGAAAAGUGGAGUGUCGUCUACAGAUAAUGAAAAGUUUAAAAUUUUAAACGUGUGUUAACAGGAGCAUUGCAAUGUUUUAUAGCUAUCAAAUGUGUAGUCUGUAAAAAGUUAAGUUAUUGACAGAAAGUGUACGCUACUGCACAUAAAAGUAGUCAAAUAAAGAACCGUGCGAAAGAUGCAGACAAUAAAAUGCGUUGUGGUAGGAGAUGGGGCUGUUGGUAAAACUUGCUUAUUGAUUUCCUACACCACGAAUAAAUUUCCAUCGGAAUAUGUGCCUACGGUGUUCGAUAAUUAUGCCGUUACAGUAAUGAUUGGUGGAGAGCCAUAUACAUUAGGAUUAUUUGAUACUGCUGGUCAGGAGGAUUAUGAUCGGCUACGACCGCUUAGUUAUCCACAAACGGAUGUAUUCCUAGUAUGUUUUUCUGUUGUAUCCCCGUCAUCUUUUGAAAACGUUAAGGAAAAGUGGGUACCAGAAAUAACUCAUCAUUGUCAGAAAACACCUUUUUUACUUGUUGGUACACAAAUCGAUUUAAGAGAUGAUGCAGCAACUAUUGAAAAAUUAGCAAAAAAUAAGCAAAAACCUAUCACAGGAGAGCAAGGAGAAAAACUUGCAAAAGAACUGAAAGCAGUGAAAUAUGUAGAAUGUAGUGCUCUUACGCAGAAAGGUCUAAAAAAUGUUUUUGACGAAGCGAUCUUAGCAGCUUUAGAGCCACCGGAACCAGUUAGGAGAAGACGAUGCGUUGUCUUGUAGGACGUGAUUGCCUCCUUAUCGAACGAUUGGCUCAAUAUUGUCGAAGAUUGUGAGUUUUAUCGUACGGUGCAUGCAGAUUAUUUUAUCGAAGCAAUAACCACACACUGAAUAAGACAAAACAAGGCUUAACGUGUUGAAUAUCAAAGAACGAAUAUGCCUGCGUUCAUAUAAGGCGUCGUUUCUCUAACGAUAUUAAAAGAACUUGGAAAGUCAAGUGAAAUUUUGUAUUGAAAAUCGAUACGGCAAUUACAAACUAUUUGCAUGUUUGCAUUUCUCCUUAAUUAGGGGUAUUAUACUUUUGUAACUGUAUAAAAUGUCGAUCGCAACACGCAGAUGUGGAUAACCAUAAUUUUGUACAUAAAUUACAUAAACUUAUUUAUCUUAUACAAUGGUGACUUGCGAUUUUGACGUUGACUUUUUUUACGAUCGCAUAAACGAAACAAUUCCACUAUCCAGGAUCGAAGAAAGCUCGUAAUAGAGAAUAUACCAUGAAAGCUGCAAAACUUGUAGGAUAUUUAAAAUGUAAGAUGUUUUUGACAACACAAUAAUAGCGUUUUUAAUAAAUCAUUUAUAAAAAUUA